CACUCCUACGGGAGGCAGCAGUGGGGAAUUUUGGACAAUGGGCGAAAGCCUGAUCCAGCAAUGCCGCGUGAGUGAAGAAGGCCUUCGGGUUGUAAAGCUCUUUUGUCAGGGAAGAAACGGUGAGAGCUAAUAUCUUUUGCUAAUGACGGUACCUGAAGAAUAAGCACCGGCUAACUACGUGCCAGCAGCCGCGGUAAUACGUAGGGUGCAAGCGUUAAUCGGAAUUACUGGGCGUAAAGCGUGCGCAGGCGGUUUUGUAAGUCUGAUGUGAAAUCCCCGGGCUCAACCUGGGAAUUGCAUUGGAGACUGCAAGGCUAGAAUCUGGCAGAGGGGGGUAGAAUUCCACGUGUAGCAGUGAAAUGCGUAGAUAUGUGGAGGAACACCGAUGGCGAAGGCAGCCCCCUGGGUCAAGAUUGACGCUCAUGCACGAAAGCGUGGGGAGCAAACAGGAUUAGAUACCCUGGUAGUCCCAUG
rnacentral:rRNA from 1 species